rnacentral:sRNA from 1 species
UAUAUCAUGGAAUUGGCCUUCUAUUGGUCCCUUAUGUUUUCUCAGUUUACAGACAUUAAAAGAAAGGACUUCCUGAUCAUGUUUGUGCAUCACUUGGUCACCAUUGGGCUUAUCUCCUUCUCCUACAUCAACAAUAUGGUUCGAGUGGGAACUCUGAUCAUGUGUCUACAUGAUGUCUCAGACUUCUUGCUGGAGGCAGCCAAACUGGCCAAUUAUGCCAAGUAUCAGCGGCUCUGUGACACCCUUUUUGUGAUCUUCAGUGCUGUUUUUAUGGUUACACGACUAGGAAUCUAUCCAUUCUGGUAAGUGGUAGGCUGUAGAGUUGUGGUAGGUAUGAGCCUAAUGAUACCUUUUUGCCAAUUCUCAUUUUGCCCAUUCAGUUUUUCUGUUCUAUUCUAUUCUACUUUCGCCAAUAGAACACAAGAACCCUAUUGCCCUGCUUUUACCUUAGCCUGUGCUGACCUUCUGUGGACUCUCACAGGACCUCUGCUGCCUCACACCGUAUUUCUAGCAAGGUCGGAUCCAGACUCAGAGUACCCGGCUUGGUUGGCUUCUCAGGACUGACUCAUCUCAGGAACAGUCCUCAUUUUA